rnacentral:tRNA from 1 species
AAUUUUUUUAUCACGAUGAUAAAAAAAUUGCCGGGAUAGCUCAGU